UGGGGAAUUUUGGACAAUGGGCGAAAGCCUGAUCCAGCAAUGCCGCGUGUGUGAAGAAGGCCUUCGGGUUGUAAAGCACUUUUGUCCGGAAAGAAAUCCUUGGCUCUAAUACAGUCGGGGGAUGACGGUACCGGAAGAAUAAGCACCGGCUAACUACGUGCCAGCAGCCGCGGUAAUACGUAGGGUGCAAGCGUUAAUCGGAAUUACUGGGCGUAAAGCGUGCGCAGGCGGUUUGCUAAGACCGAUGUGAAAUCCCCGGGCUCAACCUGGGAACUGCACUGGUGACUGGCAGGCUAGAGUAUGGCAGAGGGGGGUAGAAUUCCACGUGUAGCAGUGAAAUGCGUAGAGAUGUGGAGGAAUACCGAUGGCGAAGGCAGCCCCCUGGGCCAAUACUGACGCUCAUGCACGAAAAGGCGUGGGGGAGCAAACAGGAUUAGAUACCCUGGUAGUCCACGCCCUAAAACGAUGUCAACUAGUUGUUGGGGAUUCAUUUCCUUAGUAACGUAGCUAACGCGUGAAGUUGACCGCCUGGGGGAGUACGGGUCGCAAGAUU
rnacentral:rRNA from 1 species